rnacentral:rRNA from 1 species
AGUGAACGCUGGCGGUAGGCCUAACACAUGCAAGUCGAACGGCAGCACAGUAAGAGCUUGCUCUUACGGGUGGCGAGUGGCGGACGGGUGAGGAAUACAUCGGAAUCUACUUUUUCGUGGGGGAUAACGUAGGGAAACUUACGCUAAUACCGCAUACGACCUACGGGUGAAAGCAGGGGAUCUUCGGACCUUGCGCGAUUGAAUUAGCCGAUUUCGGAUUAGCUAGUUGGCGGGGUAAAGGCCCACCAAGGCGACGAUCCGUAGCUGGUCUGAGAGGAUGAUCAGCCACACUGGAACUGAGACACGGUCCAGACUCCUACGGGAGGCAGCAGUGGGGAAUAUUGGACAAUGGGCGCAAGCCUGAUCCAGCAAUACCGCGUGGGUGAAGAAGGCCUUCGGGUUGUAAAGCCCUUUUGUCGGGAAAGAAAAGAAGCAGGUUAAUACGCCGCUGUUCUGACGGUACCCAAAGAAUAAGCACCGGCUAACUUCGUG